rnacentral:rRNA from 1 species
UACAGAGGAGCCAAGCGUUGUCCGGAAUUACUGGGCGUAAAGCGUGCGCAGGCGGUUCGUUGUGUCGGCGGUGAAAGCCCCGGGCUCAACCUGGGAAUGGCCGUUGAAACUGGCGAACUGGAGUGUGGCAGAGGGGGGUGGAAUUCCGCGUGUAGCAGUGAAAUGCGUAGAGAUGCGGAGGAACACCGAUGGCGAAGGCAGCCCCCUGGGCUGACACUGACGCUCAGGCACGAAAGCGUGGGGAGCAAACAGG